rnacentral:lncRNA from 1 species
GACUGAUCACAAGGGGAAAGACUAAAGAGUCAUUGAAUUUAAAGAUCAACUGAAUCCUUCCUCAUUCAAUGGGAUGACAAAGGUAGUAGUUAUGUACUAUGACUUUCUUUGCUAAAAUAGAGAAGAGUACAGUUUGUGUAAGUGGUGUUUAGGGCUGACACAGGAGAAUAUGCAGGUGGUAUGCUAUCCAGUUCCAGAGAAUGCAGUUCCCCCAGCCUCUGACGUGAAUGCACUUUUGUUGUGCAGUGUAAUGCCUGUUUCGCUGAAUGUGGAGGCCCUGCCGGAUAAUGGUUGGAAAUGGCAUUUUCUGUGCACUUGACCUCACCAGACCCUGUUGGGUUGGGGUGGAAGCUGAGCCGGCUUCCUAGCCAGUGUAAGUGGAAACUUACCUGGACCAAUGAAUACCUUGUGUUUGCCUUUGGCACAAAUUUACAUGGACUUAUGCUUUUGCCAUUUGGCCUACUUGAAUUAAUCCACAGAUGUCAAACCAAAUUAAAAAAUUUCCUGUAUGAUUCUUAUUAAAAAAUAUAAAAUGCUAGAUUCAGAAUGUUUGGAAAGAUCUGAGUACUCCCUAGACAGUGAGUUCCUGAGAACUUGGAGAUAUAGCCUAAAGAAAAGUGAGUCUUUCCUUCUUUCUAAGUUUUAGAAUGGCUACAAUCAAUUCUAACUGCACUUAGUUACCUGGAAAACUUGAAUUACUUGCUCCACUUUAAUUCAUGCAAAGUCUUCAACAAUUAAUUUGCCUUUUGAUUAGUAGCAUUAUUAUUAAUUUUUAGAGCCUGCCCUUAUUUACUAUUGGCUCUAUGCUUCUCUGACAUUGGGAAAAUAUAUUGACCAGAUCACAUUUAAAAAC